rnacentral:rRNA from 1 species
UGGGGAAUAUUGCACAAUGGGGGAAACCCUGAUGCAGCGACCCCGCGUGGAGGAAGAAGGUCUUCGGAUUGUAAACUCCUGUUGUUGAGGAAGAUAAUGACGGUACUCAACAAGGAAGUGACGGCUAACUACGUGCCAGCAGCCGCGGUAAAACGUAGGUCACAAGCGUUGUCCGGAAUUACUGGGUGUAAAGGGAGCGCAGGCGGACCGGCAAGUUGGAAGUGAAAACUAUGGGCUCAACCCAUAAAUUGCUUUCAAAACUGCUGGCCUUGAGUAGUGCAGAGGUAGGUGGAAUUCCCGGUGUAGCGGUGGAAUGCGUAGAUAUCGGGAGGAACACCAGUGGCGAAGGCGACCUACUGGGCACCAACUGACACUGAGGCUCGAAAGCGUGGGUAGCAAACAGGAUUAGAUACCCUGGUAGUCCAUGCCGUAAACGAUGAUUACUAGGUGUUGGAGGAUUGACCCCUUCAGUGCCGCAGUUAACACAAUAAGUAAUCCACCUGGGGAGUACGACCGCAAGGUUGAAACUCAAAGGAAUUGACGGGGGCCCGCACAAGCAGUGGAGUAUGUGGUUUAAUUCGAAGCAACGCGAAGAACCUUACCAGGUCUUGACAUCCGAUGCAUAGUGCAGAGAUGCAUGAAGUCCUUCGGGACAUCGAGACAGGUGGUGCAUGGUUGUCGUCAGCUCGUGUCGUGAGAUGUUGGGUUAAGUCCCGCAACGAGCGCAACCCUUAUUGCCAGUUACUACGCAAGAGGACUCUGGCGAGACUGCCGUUGACAAAACGGAGGAAGGUGGGGAUGACGUCAAAUCAUCAUGCCCUUUAUGACCUGGGCUACACACGUACUACAAUGGCGUUUAACAAAGAGAAGCAAGACCGCGAGGUGGAGCAAAACUCAAAAACAACGUCUCAGUUCAGAUUGCAGGCUGCAACUCGCCUGCAUGAAGUCGGAAUUGCUAGUAAUCGCGGAUCAGCAUGCCGCGGUGAAUACGUUCCC